GUUGAGCAGGCCUGCUCGAGGAGAAUGCUUUAGUCUAUGUUGUAGCAUUAAUCAGGAAUGUUUGACUGUAUAAGCAGAAAUACUUUCGCUCAGCCAGCCUAGAAAUGCAUGUACGAAGGACCAGUCUUCAUUACCCCUGAAGAAAACAUCUCCAUUACCAGAAACUUUACCAUGAGCUCGACACAGAGUCAUAUAACCAACUCCAAGAAGAAGCUAUACAUCUGAUAUUCGGAUACAGCCCAGAAAGGGGGAAUUGGAGCUUGGUUCCAGGUGGAGAAGCGAGAAGAUGAAGAGGAGGCAGCCACUGUUGCUCACCACCAACCUCAUCCAGCCCAACUGCUGCGGCAGUGACCUUGAUAACUGCCAACUACUCCCUCAUUCUGGCAGCUCAUUCGCUCGUUCAGGGCAUGGCUCCCUCCAGUGGAGGCAGGUUCCUCUUUCAGAUCGUAUAUGGCUGGAUAUGAUCCAAGAGUUGCACCCUAGCAUCCUUUGCCAUUAAAAGGGAUCUUGAGAGCUUAUGGGAGUGGCAAGAUGAGUUUCUCCUAAGGUAGCAGCAGUAGCAGCAGCAGCAGCAGCAGCAAAAUUCAGCACAUGACUUAUACUAAGUGGAAGUAUUACAGAAGUGAAACUCUGAAGAAAGAGGUGGGGUGCCUGCCUCCUCUGCAACCCCAUUGGCCAAAAAUGGACCAGAAGGACAGCAGGGAAAGCAUACAGUGUGAACAAUCCCUGCUUGGAAAAAACCUAAAGAAUUGUAGCCAAACUUCAUAAGAUAUAGGAAUAGGAACAGCCCCAGCUUUACUCCGAAUUAUGCUUGAAAAUGUUUAUAUCCGUUUAUUUCUGCCUUUACUACUCUUGCCCUAAGCUAUCUGAUGUUAGACCACUUCCUCCUGCACUAAAGCUGGCAGUCUGGAAAGGUUCCUGGUAUGCAGCAGUACAUUGACCUAGGAAUCUCUCAUCUCUCAAGCCAGCCGAAGCAAAGCAGGAAUGGAAAUAAGACUUUCAAUUUCCCUUCGGGGGGAGAAACAAUUUCCCAAGAACAUCCAAGCUAAGUCAGAGAAACUCGCUUUAAAAUGAAUCCCUAGAGUGCAAACUGUUUCACAUUUCAUGUGGGGCUUGUGAAUGAUGUAGGCUCUUACAUGCAUAUUUCCUACAGCAAACAUGUGAAUGAAAAACUAACUAAUGCAUGUUCCUAAACACAUGCUGUAUGUGCACAGCAGGGGGGUGCGGGCUGUAGGUGGUUAGGCUCCUUUGUGUGUACAUGUGUUUAGGAACACAUGUUAACAUUCACAUUUCAUGUGUUUGUGGUGGGAAAUGCCAAUGUAAAUAAUUUAUUUAGGUUCCACAGAAGCAAAGGAGAGAGGGAUGUGUAGCCCACUGCAGCAGUAGAAAAGACCACCGCAGGACAUGUAUCACUUGCAUAUUGUGUAAUUGUGCUGUAAAGCUGAACCACAUGCGGGAAAGCAUUAUACAUUUCUGAGAGAUGUGGGAGUGACUGCAGAAGUGGUGGCAACCACACCAUUACAAGUAUGUGUAAAGGGCUGUUAGCAUCAUGGGGGAUGAUGUUUUACAGCCCUGUCUACGCCCUAUGAAAAUGUCAUUUGCAACCACAAGGGUCCUCCCUCCAUGGUACCUGAGAAAUCUGUGGAGGUAGCCACUGAGGUACUAUUAUGUCUUUUAUGCCACUUCUUUGGCUUGCUGCUGCUCUUUUAAAAGUUGUAAUGCAUUUUGUAUUGCAUUUUGAAUA